rnacentral:piRNA from 1 species
UUCUGCUUGGAGAAUGGGUGCAG